AGGGAAUCUUCCGCAAUGGACGAAAGUCUGACGGAGCAACGCCGCGUGAGUGAUGAAGGCCUUCGGGUCGUAAAACUCUGUUGUUAGGGAAGAACAAGUAUCGGAGUAACUGCCGGUACCUUGACGGUACCUAACCAGAAGGCCACGGCUAACUACGUGCCAGCAGCCGCGGUAAUACGUAGGUGGCAAGCGUUGUCCGGAAUUAGUGGGCGUAAAGCGCGCGCAGGCGGUCCUUUAAGUCUGAGGGGAAAGCCCACGGCUCAACCGGGGAGGGUCAUUGGAAACUGGGGGACUUGAGUACAGAAGAGGAAAGCGGAAUUCCACGUGUAGCGGUGAAAUGCGUAGAGAUGUGGAGGAACACCAGUGGCGAAGGCGGCUUUCUGGUCUGUAACUGACGCUGAGGCGCGAAAGCGUGGGGAGCAAAC
rnacentral:rRNA from 1 species